CCUACGGGCGGCAGCAGUGGGGGAUAUUGCACAAUGGGGGAAACCCUGAUGCAGCGACGCCGCGUGGGUGAAGAAGUAUUUCGGUAUGUAAAGCCCUAUCAGCAGGGAAGAAAGAAGACGGUACCUGACUAAGAAGCCCCGGCUAACUACGUGCCAGCAGCCGCGGUAAUACGUAGGGGGCGAGCGUUAUCCGGAUUCACUGGGUGUAAAGGGAGCGUAGACGGCCGUGCAAGCCAGGAGUGAAAGCCCGGGGCCCAACCCCGGGACUGCUCUUGGAACUGUGCGGCUGGAGUGCGGGAGGGGCAGGCGGAAUUCCUGGUGUAGCGGUGAAAUGCGUAGAUAUCAGGAGGAACACCGGCGGCGAAGGCGGCCUGCUGGACCGCGACUGACGUUGAGGCUCGAAAGCGUGGGGAGCGAACAGGAUUAGAUACCCGGGUAGUC
rnacentral:rRNA from 1 species